GAUGAACGCUAGCUACAGGCUUAACACAUGCAAAUCGAGGGGAAACGACAUCGAAAGCUUGCUUUUGAUGGGCGUCGACCGGCGCACGGGUGAGUAACGCGUAUCCAACCUGCCCACCACUUGGGGUUAACCUUGCGAAAGUAAGACUAAUACCCAAUGACGUCUCUAGAAGACAUCUGAAAGAGAUUAAAGAUUUAUCGGUGAUGGAUGGGGAUGCGUCUGAUUAGCUUGUUGGCGGGGUAACGGCCCACCAAGGCGACGAUCAGUAGGGGUUCUGAGAGGAAGGUCCCCCACAUUGGAACUGAGACACGGUCCAAACUCCUACGGGAGGCAGCAGUGAGGAAUAUUGGUCAAUGGGCGAGAGCCUGAACCAGCCAAGUAGCGUGCAGGAUGACGGCCCUAUGGGUUGUAAACUGCUUUUAUAAGGGAAUAAAGUGAGUCUCGUGAGACUUUUUGCAUGUACCUUAUGAAUAAGGACCGGCUAAUUCCGUGCCAGCCGCCGCCGUAA
rnacentral:rRNA from 1 species